rnacentral:lncRNA from 1 species
UUGUAUUGCACUUCAGAAAUAUUUGGAAGUAGGUCACCAAUAUUUUCCCCUGUUUUCUUCUGGAAGUUUUAUGUUUUCCACUUACAUCUAUGAGACAUUUUGAGUUUAAUUAUGUACAUUGUGUGAGGAAUGGGUCAAUAUAAUGAUAUUGGAUAAAACGGAUCAUUAAGAGUGUACGGAACAGGAGUUCCCCUCCUGGCCCAGCAGAAACAAAUACGACUAGGAACCAUGAGGUCGCAGGUUUGAUCCCUGGCCUCGCUCAGUGGGUUAAGGAUCCUGCAUUGCCAUGAGCUGUGGUGUAGGUCGCAGAUGAGGUUCCGAUCUGGCACUGCUGUGGCUGUGAUGUAGGCUGGCAGCUGUAGCUCGGGUUCAACCCCUAGCCCGGGAAACUCCAUAUGUCGAGGGUGCGGCCCUAAAAAGAAAAAAAGAAAACACAAGGAACACUGAGUAAUCAACGCUAUCUUGGAUGAGGUCACUAGUGACCUCAGGAAAAGCAUAUUCAGUCAAAACAAAUAAUUUCGAUAUUGGAACUACUUCUAACCAACCACUUUAAGAAUUCCCCGUGGAAGCACUAGGUCUACAUUUGAAAUCCCUUAGCAUUCUUAAAGGUCACUUCUCUGGGCACAGGAGGGUCUGGGCUUCCCGGCACUGACAGUGAGGAUGACUGAGGCAGAUUCCAGUCACGCCACUUGGGGCACUCCAGAAUGAGGGCCUGGGGACAAACCCAAGGAAUCACUGCCCCGCUGGGAAAUCAGAACCGACACUCAUCACCAGGUCUUCCAGGCUGACACCUCACCAGGGAGGCAGCUGGUUAAAAUACAGUCGAAUGAAAAGGCGAGGAUGGGAAUGUGUGCACUUGGGCAAUCCCGGAGAAAAUUAGGGAAAUUCCUUCCACCCGCCCCCCCUCCUGCGUCUGGAGGAGACGCGGAAGGCGUGUGGGCUCCUCGGCCCAACCUCGCGGGCGGCUCUUCAAGGGUAAAGAGCUUCUGCACUUACCCGGUCCCAGGCUGGGCAUGUUUAAGCUAGGGGGAUAGUGGGCCGGCCUCGUCCCUUCCCAAAGGCCAUGCUGAGGUCACUGAUCAGGCUCCCCCCGUCCGGCUGACCUUACGCCUUCUCACCCCAGCAGCCUACGGGUCAUUCCUAGGCGCGGCGAGUCUCCCCGCCCAGAGCCUGU